rnacentral:sRNA from 1 species
GUAGAUGCUCAUCCUGCUUCUUGUGAUAGCUUUCAGCUUCAUAAACUAUUGGAUGACGCAGAGCCAAUUUGAUGUGCCUAUUGUCCACGUUAUCGAUGCAUAAUAUCCAUCACCAACCGGACGCAACGUUGAGUGAGGCACAAUCCGUCUAUAGACCUGAUUGUAUUUUGAUACCUAUCUUUUGAUAGGUUUUUUUUA